GAUGCUGCGGCGAUUCCCACUUUACGGCUAAUGCCAGGCCCAGGCAUGUGUGCAGACGAAGGGACAGGAAGCGACGAUGAGUGGAACUGAUGAUUGGACUUCAUCCUGACCAAGAGGCACACACAGCCAGUGACUGCAGAAGUGACCACGUCCCCCCGCAGGGGUCCUGAGAACAGAGCUCGUGGCCUGGCCUGCGUUAGCUUCACACCAGCCUAGAUGACUGCAAGAAAUUCAAAGAGAAGGCAGAUGGAACGUGCUGUGAGAGGUUCUCAAAGGCAAAGAGCUAAU
rnacentral:lncRNA from 10 species